AUACGGAGGAUGCAAGCGUUAUCCGGAUUUAUUGGGGUUAAAGGGUGCGUAGGCGGGACUGUAAGUCAGGGGUGAAAUACUGCAGCUUAACUGUAGCAUUGCCUUUGAAACUGCCGUUCUUGAGUACAGUUGAGGUAUGCGGAAUGUGGUGCGUAGCGGUGUAAUGCAUAGAUAUACCACAGAACGCCGAUUGCGAAGGCAGCUUACUAAGCUGUUACUGACGCUGAGGCACGAAAGCGUGGGGAUCAAACAGGAUUAGAUACCCUGGUAGUCCACGCUGUAAACGAUGAUUACUGGUUGUUAGCGAUAUAUAGCUAGUGACUGAGCGAAAGCAUUAAGUAAUCCACCUGGGGAGUACGUCGGCAACGAUGAAACUCAAAGGAAUUGGCGGGG
rnacentral:rRNA from 1 species